rnacentral:rRNA from 1 species
AGAGUGAACGCUGGCGGUAGGCCUAACACAUGCAAGUCGAACGGCAGCACGGUAAGAGCUUGCUCUUAUGGGUGGCGAGUGGCGGACGGGUGAGGAAUACAUCGGAAUCUACCUUUUGGUGGGGGAUAACGUAGGGAAACUUACGCUAAUACCGCAUACGCCCUUCGGGGGAAAGCCGGGGACCAGCAAUGGCCUGGCGCUGAUAGAUGAGCCGAUGUCGGAUUAGCUAGUUGGUGAGGUAAUGGCUCACCAAGGCGACGAUCCGUAGCUGGUCUGAGAGGAUGAUCAGCCACACUGGAACUGAGACACGGUCCAGACUCCGUACGGGAGCAGCAGUGGGAAUAUUGGACAAGUGGGCGCAAGCCUGAUCCAGCCAAUACCGCGUGGUGAAGAAGGCCGUUCGGUUGUAACGGUCCUUUUGGUAGGAAAG